GUCGUACGGAGGCUUCGGCCUCAGUGGCGCACGGGUGCGUAACGCGUAUGCAACUUACCCUCUACUGGGGAAUAACUCGGGGAAACUCGGGCUAAUACCGCGUAAAAAGCUGAUUGGCAUCAAUCGGUUUUAAAAGCUUCGGCGGUAGGGGCUAGGCAUGCGUGCCAUUAGCUAGAUGGGGAGGUAGUGGCUCACCAUGGCGACGAUGGCUAGGGGUUCUGAGAGGAAGGUCCCCCACACUGGUACUGAGAUACGGACCAGACUCCUACGGGAGGCAGCAGUAAGGAAUAUUGGGCAAUGGACGGAAGUCUGACCCAGCCAUGCCGCGUGUCGGAAGAAUCCCCUCUGGGGUGUAAACGACUUUU
rnacentral:rRNA from 1 species